rnacentral:rRNA from 1 species
CGUAGGUGAACCUGCGGAAGGAUCAUUCACAAUGAGUGUUUUAUGGCACUCUUUAAAAAUCCAUAUCCACCUUGUGUGCAAUGUUUGUUGGGAGAGAGGCAACUCUUUCCCUUCACAAAUAUCAACCUAUAUCUUUAACAACAUUCGUCUGAUAACAUAUUAUGAAUAUACUUAAUUCAAAAUAUAACUUUCAACAACGGAUCUCUUGGCUCUCGCAUCGAUGAAGAACGCAGCGAAAUGCGAUACGUAAUGUGAAUUGCAGAAUUCAGUGAAUCAUCGAAUCUUUGAACGCAUAUUGCGCUCUUUGGUAUUCCGAAGAGCAUGCUUGUUUGAGUAUCAGUAAACACCUCAACCUCCUCUUGUUUUUUCAAAAGGAGGGUGGACUUGAGCUAUCCCAACAACCUUCACCGGUAGGCGGGCGGCUUGAAAUGCAGGUGCAGCUGGACUUUUAUCUGAGCUAAAAGCAUAUCUAUUUAGUCCUCGUCAAACAGGAUUAUUACUAUUGCUGCAGCUAACAUAAAGGAUAAUUGUCCUCAUUGCUGACUGAUGCAGGAUUUUACGACACUUUAUGUGUUGUUCAACUCGAUCUCAAAUCAAGUAAGACUACCCGCUGAACUUAAGCAUAUCAAUAAGCGGAGGA